GAUGAAGAACGCAGUGAAAUGCGAUAAGUAAUGUGAAUUGCAGAAUUCAGUGAAUCAUCGAAUCUUUGAACGCAUCUUGCGCCCCCUGGUAUUCCGGGGGGCAUGCCUGUCCGAGCGUCAUUGCUGCCCUCAAGCACGGCUUGUGUGUUGGGCCUCCGUCCUCCUCCCGGGGGACGGGCCCGAAAGGCAGCGGCGGCACCGCGUCCGGUCCUCGAGCGUAUGGGGCUUCGUCACCCGCUCUUGUAGGCCCGGCCGGCGCUUGCCGACACAUCAAUCUUUUUUCCAGGUUGACCUCGGAUCAGGUAGGGAUACCCGCUGAACUUAAGCAUAUCAAUAAGCGGAGGA
rnacentral:misc_RNA from 1 species